CGGGAGGUGCGGUGGCCCGGCGAGCCGAGGGCGCAGCCAGCCUAGCGGACCGCGGACAGCGGUCAGGGCGCCGUGCCAUGGGCCGAACCGGGGGUGGGGGCCCGGGCCGGGGACCGCCGCCACUGCUGCUGCUUCUGGGGGCCACGCUGGUCCUUACCGCCGGAGCCGUGCCGGCGCGCGAGGCUGGCAGCGCCGCGGAGGCCGAAGAGCUGGUGAAGAGUGGCCUGGCAUGGGAGCCACGUGCCAACGGCACACAGGAGGCCGCCUUGCCAGCAGCUGGAGAAGAUGAGACCUCGUGGACGGCGCCGGGCGGCGAGCUGUCCAUUGUGGGCCCAGAGGAGGCGCUGCAGGCGUCAGCUGCAGUGACCGGCACCACAUGGCUAGAGGCUGACAGCCCAGGCCUGGGUGGAGUGACAGCAGAGGCAGGCAGCGGUGAUGCCCAGGGCCUUCCAGCUACACUCCAGGCUCCCGACGAGGCCCUCGGGCAGUCAUCUAUGCCCCCGGACACCCCUGAGGCUACAGAAGCCAGUGGACCACCCUCCCCGACCCCCGACGACAAGCUGAGCCCAGCUUCUGAACUCCCCAAGGAGAGCCCCUUGGAGGUUUGGCUGAACCUGGGAGGCAGCACACCUGACCCUCAAGGGCCAGAGCCAACUUACCCCUUUCAGGGCACACUGGAUCCCCACCCAGCAUCAGAUAUAAUUGACAUCGACUACUUCGAAGGAUUGGAUGGUGAGGGUCGUGGCGCAGACCUGGGGAGCUUCCCGGGGUCACCAGGAAUCUCAGAGAACCACCCUGAUACUGAGGGAGAGACCCCUUCCUGGAGCCUGCUUGACUUAUAUGAUGACUUCACCCCCUUUGAUGAAUCUGAUUUCUACCCCACCACAUCCUUUUACGAUGACUUGGAGGAAGAGGAGGAAGAGGAGGAUGACAAAGAUGCAGUGGGAGGUGGAGACCUGGAAGAUGAAAAUGACCUUCUAGUGCCCACUCGGAAGCCUGGUCUAGGGCCUGGGACAGGUCAGCCUACCAACCGGUGGCAUGCUGUCCCUCCACAGCAUACUCUGGGGUUGGUUCCUGGAAGCAGCAUCGCCCUCAGGCCCCGCCCAGGAGAGUCAGGCAAGGACCUGGCCUCAAGCGAAAAUGGCACUGAGUGCCGCAGUGGCUUCGUGCGGCAUAACGGCUCCUGCCGGUCAGUGUGCGACCUCUUCCCAAGUUACUGUCACAAUGGUGGGCAGUGUUACCUGGUGGAGAACAUAGGGGCCUUCUGCAGGUGCAACACACAGGACUACAUCUGGCACAAGGGGAUGCGCUGUGAGUCCAUCAUCACCGACUUCCAGGUGAUGUGCGUGGCCGUUGGCUCGGCCGCCCUCGUGCUACUCCUGCUUUUCAUGAUGACGGUGUUCUUCGCCAAGAAGCUCUAUCUGCUCAAGACAGAGAAUACCAAGCUGCGUAGGACCAACAAAUUCCGGACCCCAUCUGAGCUCCACAACGAUAAUUUCUCCCUCUCCACCAUUGCCGAGGGCUCUCACCCAAAUUCAGACUUAGUCACGUUCAAGAUCUUGUGGGCAUUGCCGAUUAAGAUGGUUGCCACUUUGCUGUGAAGCGAAGCCCUGCUGCUCACUCCAGCCGCCACGCUGACUGCUUCCACAUGGUGCCCACAGCAAGAUGAAAGUGAGAAGGCCUCCAGGUGGCCCUGAAGGAAAAGAGGCAGGCAGGCGUUGCCACAGAAGUUCUCUGAAUGUGCAGAGUGUGGAGUUGAGGACCGUGUGUGGUGUGGACGUCCUGAAAACCCUUAACAGGCAAAUCCGGUUCGGGCUUGGGAGCUUGUCAGAGGGCUGCAGGACAUACAGAGGGCUGGGCAGAGGGACACAGGCACACAACAGAGUGCUCAUGAACCAGCAGCAUGAAUAUCAUCUGACGCAGAAUGCGGCAGGCCACCGAGGCAGCCAGAUUCGGGCUGGGAUUGAGAGCAGACCAUUUCAGUUAGCAUCUCUUGGCAGAAACGGUUCUGACGGCAAGAGGCUCACACAUCUUUGGCCUCUAGGCAGAGCACAUAUUUUCGCUGUGGGGAGUGGGGCCCUCACUUUGCCAGGAGCAGCUCUGUAGCUGACCGUAAUCCUGUGCGUGCCCCACUCCACACGCUGACAUGUUUCCAGACCAAGACAGUUUUGUGCAAGCAGAACUCAACAGGGUAGAGGGCCCAGCAGGCCGCACAGAGCACAGCCACACCUGAGACUUUAGAGGCACCUGGGCCAAGUAUUAAAAGGGACAGUGUCUCCCAAUAUCUGUCCAGAAGAAAGCCUUGGACUGGCCCAAAUUAAAGGUAUUUGUGACCUGAUUACCUGUCAAGUUUUCAUCUACACCUGGCCAUUGCUUUUAGGAUGGCUUUCCUAAAAAGUAGUGCUAAUGAGUUGCUCUGGCGAAUUUGGGUUCAUUCAAGUCUUAGAGCUUUUUCCUUUUCUCAGUUAUGCUUCUUUCAGCCAGAUAGAACAAUCGGAAGUUAUUAUUUGAUUGCCCUACACAUUGUCUCCUCCCCCCAACUUUCUUCCUCUUCUAGGAUGAUCCUAGUGCUCCACACAAAAUCCAGGAAGCUCUCAAGUCCUGCCUGAAAGAGGAGGAGUCAUUUAACAUCCAGAACUCCAUGUCGCCCAAACUCGAGGGUGGCAAAGGUGACCAGGCUGACUUGGAGGUGAACUGUCUUCAGAAUAAUUUAACCUAAAGCAGAGCAAGAAGGGGGGACAUGGGGGUGGGGGGGUAGCGGGAAGAAACAUUAUCUCCUCUUGUACAGAGUCUAUUUCUUGUAACCAUUUGUUAAACUUUUUUCUUUUUCUGAUCUCAUGGCAUGCUUUGAUGUAUUUUGUACAGGAGGCAAAAAAAUACUUAAAAUAAGCAAAGAAACUGAACAGGAUUGCAUACCUUGGAUUGUUUUGUCUGUGCUGUCUGUACAUUGCUUCUGCUGCUGUGAUUUCUAAACCCGUGCUGUUACUCAACUGACUUUUUUUUUGUACUUUGACCCACCUUUUUUUUAAAUACCAGUAAAAAAAAAACAAAGUUCUUGAAAUAAAACUUUUUAAAAAG